GGUAUGAGCUUUCGUGUGCAUGCACACUUCUUCAGAUACAGUGAAGAAGUGUGCAUGCACACAAAAGCUCAUACU